AAUAAAGAGAUGAGUACUCUCAUCCGCCAUAUUUGCUCCUACAGAGAAGCAGUGAUCCCAUUCGUACGAUAAUUAUCGUACGCGUCACAUAAUUUGAAGCCUUGCACGAUCCAAAAUUCAGCCUGUACGAUAAUUGAUAUUACGUAAUUGUAUCGGUAAAACAAAAAAUUAUCACUGUAGAAUCACAAGAACCAUCACUGUACUAUCUGAUCUCUCUCCUUGCCGUACGCCGUACCUACGACAGCUUGUUUGAACUUGAAGACUAAAAAAAAGGUCAUCAAGUUUGAAACUUUUACUCCAAAUCCAAUAAUAUCAAAUAAAUCCAAUCCCAACAAUCCCAAAAAUUCUACAAAUUCAAAAUUUUUCCUGCACUAGCAGAAGCCAGUAUGGUUUUGUACAGUAAACACGUUUGUUGACAUAAACCGAGAUUGAAUUAUUUACUGAUAAUUGUAUUAAAUUUCAUUAAAAAAAACUAUUUGAUAGUUGAUUUUAGUGCUUAACCUUUCUAUUUUUAACAUUAAAAGAUAGAUUAAACUACAAAAUACUAUUUAGUGAUUGAUUUAUAAACACGGAUAACCUCUCUAUUUGGAACGUUUCAGUAAUAAUUUGAUGAAAAGUAUGUCAGUAAAAAAGGAAGACAACAAAAGAUCAGUCGCUGCUAAAAGCAAAAUGAAGUAUGAAAGUGGAAUAAAAUCUGUUGACGAAGAGAGACCAUUAUAUCUUUGCUUGCUGAAAAUCUAUCUAUAUGAAAAUCUAUAAGGGCUCAAAUAGAGAGAAUGAAUGCAAUUUUAAGAGAAUAUAAAUCGUAUUCAGCAGCUUCAGAAUAUUUACAAUACAAUGUUUCAUAAUCAUAAACUUAAUUAAACAUGGUAAAAAUUGUAUAUAUUU